rnacentral:rRNA from 1 species
UGUCGGCUCAUCGCAUCCUGGAGCUGAAGCAGGUUCCAAGGGUUGGGCUGUUCGCCCAUUAAAGCGGUACGCGAGCUGGGUUCAGAACGUCGUGAGACAGUUCGGUCCCUAUCCGGCGUGGGCGCAGGAUAUUUGAGAGGAUCUGACCUUAGUACGAGAGGACCGGGUUGGACGAACCUCUGGUGUAUCGGUUGUACUACCAAGUGCACAGCCGAGUAGCCAAGUUCGGAUGGGAUAAACGCUGAAGGCAUCUAAGCGUGAAACCCCCCUCAAGAUAAGAUAUCCCAUGACGCAAGUCAGUAAGACCCCUUGAAGACGACGAGGUAGAUAGGACAGAGGUGUAAGUGCGGCAACGCACUGAGCUGACUGUUACUAAUAGGUCGAGGGCUUGACCUGAUAA